rnacentral:rRNA from 1 species
UACGGGGGGGGUAAGCGUUGUUCGGAAUUACUGGGCGUAAAGGGCGCGUAGGCGGCGACCCAAGUCAGAUGUGAAAGUCCUGGGCUUAACCUGGGGACUGCAUUUGAUACUGGGUUGCUUGAAUUCGGGAGAGGAUAGCGGAAUUCCCAGUGUAGAGGUGAAAUUCGUAGAUAUUGGGAAGAACACCGGUGGCGAAGGCGGCUAUCUGGACCGACAUUGACGCUGAGGCGCGAAAGCGUGGGGAGCAAACAGG